rnacentral:rRNA from 1 species
ACGUAGGGGGCGAGCGUUAUCCGGAUUCAUUGGGCGUAAAGCGCUCGUAGGCGGUCCGUUAGGUCGGGAGUCAAAUCCGGGGGCUCAACCCCCGCCCGCUCCCGAUACCGGCGGACUUGAGUUUGGUAGGGGAAGGCGGAAUUCCAAGUGUAGCGGUGGAAUGCGCAGAUAUUUGGAAGAACACCGGUGGCGAAGGCGGCCUUCUGGGCCACAACUGACGCUGAGGAGCGAAAGCUAGGGGAGCGAACAG